rnacentral:rRNA from 1 species
UACGUAGGGUGCAAGCGUUGUCCGGAAUCAUUGGGCGUAAAGAGCUCGUAGGCGGUCUGUCGCGUCUGCUGUGAAAACCUGGGGCUUAACCCUGGGCUUGCAGUGGGUACGGGCAGACUAGAGUGCGGUAGGGGAGACUGGAAUUCCUGGUGUAGCGGUGAAAUGCGCAGAUAUCAGGAGGAACACCGGUGGCGAAGGCGGAUCUCUGGGCCUUACCUGACGCUCAGGUGCGAAAGCUAGGGGAGCGAACAGG